rnacentral:rRNA from 1 species
CACCGCCCGUCACACCAUGAGAGCUGUCUGUACCCAAAAUUAUCUUAGCCAACCUGAAAAGGGAGCGGAUACCUAAGGUAUGUAUGGUGAUUGGGGUG